rnacentral:rRNA from 1 species
CCCUUAGAUGUUCUGGGCGGCCCGCGCACUACAUUGGCACUCUCAAUAAGUUCCUAGAUCUCAAACUUUGGGGUAUUCUAUUAAGUGGUGUCGUGACUGGGAUUAACCCUUGCAAUUAUUGGUUACGAACGAGGAAUUCCUUGUAAUCGCGGUUUAUCAGCCCGCGUUGAAUGCGUCCCUGCCCUUUGUACACACCGCCCGUCGCUCCUACCGAUGAAUCGUCCGGUGAAGUUCAUGGAGUGGUGGUUGUUCCAGCUGCUGUCGAAGUGAAAUGGACCUCACGAUUUAGAGGAAGGAGAAGUCGUAACA